CGUCGCCAACACCACCUGUCUUUGCAGUGCUUGGCCUGUGCAGGGCUGUGUGCUGCAGGCCGUUUGGGAGCACUCAUGACUGGCCAUCGGGGUGUGUGCUGACCGGGGGCUCUGCCAGGUCCCGGAACCCCAGAAACCAACCCAGGAGAGAGGCCCAGGGUCAUGAACCUCCUGGAGUGGCUCUGAAAACCCAGAUCUUGCUCACCUGCGCUCCCUGUAGGUCCUCAGGGGCUCUCACAGGAGGCGUGGUGAGGGUGCCAAGUUUCCUACAGCUGCACUGCGACCCUUGGGAAGGACGCAUCGUGGAAAGCUUUUUGUUUUGAGGCUCUGCUUUUGAGGUUUAGGAUCUGCUGUCAGGAUCCUGACAUUGCGGCUCGCGACACCGUGCCAGGGCCUGGCCCACUCUUCCUGGACACAGAGGCCUUGUCUGGACAGUGGGCUGGCACGGGUCCCACCCCAGCCCCACACGGUGUCUGGUGGCCGUGUGAGCCCCAGUGGAAGUGACACGCUCUCCCCAAGAAAGCGCCC
rnacentral:lncRNA from 1 species